AACGCCACGAUUACAAAAAGUAGUCGGGGGUCUUGCGCGUUGUGUCCGGCUCUAUUUGUCGUGGGGCUGGAUCGAACUGUAGGAAGUUCUGAUCCAUGUUCUCCCCGAUUUCUAGAAUUGCUGCCAUGUUACCACAGCGGUAACAGUAGUUUGGGGCGCUGAACACCGUGACAACGUUCUUGUCCUGCAUAACAAUCAUUCCUUCCAUCACAAGUUGAUGGGCCCUUGAAAUAAGGGUAAGGCCAUUAGUAUGGUUGAAUUGUUGUGCAAUAUCUUGCCCAAACGUGUAUCCUGCCCCUCUUGGAGAAAUUCCCCACCCACAUCGAUCGUCCGGGUCAGACCACAAAAGAUCACACAUGGGCCCUUCAUGAGGGACCUAUAACCAUUAAAGAGAACAGGGUGCAUAAUUCAAUGUCCAUAUUAAUAGAACAAACAUUUGGCAAAAAGAGCUAACCUGGUUUUCUACAAGAGCUGUGAGAGGCAAAUAAUCAAACAAGUCCGUGAAGUACUUCCAAACAUUUGCAUUUCCAUACUUCCGUAAGCAUUCGUCAUAGA
rnacentral:sRNA from 1 species